CUACAUUUUAAACGGGCACGCGCUUUGAACAUUCGAGUUGUAUUUAAACUGGAGCGGAGAGAGUUACCAUGGAAACGGGGAAGCAGCUUAACUGACAAGCGGCGAGUCUCCGUCUGUCACACUGCUUUAUGAUUCUUCCAUGCUGAUGGCAGUACUGCAGUAGAGUUGGAGCAGACCUCCUGUUGAAGAGCAUCUCCAAUGUGCUAUGAACCAUCUGACUAGAAAGCCAUCUCGUUUAACUCAUUAAGGACACUUGGUAUACAGCAACCUACAGAGGGGCCCAACGUAAUGAGAAAACAAGACACAG